rnacentral:misc_RNA from 1 species
UACGGAGGGUGCGAGCGUUAAUCGGAAUUACUGGGCGUAAAGCGCGCGUAGGUGGUUAGCUAAGUUGGAUGUGAAAGCCCUGGGCUUAACCUGGGAACUGCAUCCGAUACUGGCUGGCUAGAGUACGGUAGAGGGGAGUGGAAUUUCCGGUGUAGCGGUGAAAUGCGUAGAGAUCGGAAGGAACAUCAGUGGCGAAGGCGACUUCCUGGACUGAUACUGACACUGAGGUGCGAAAGCGUGGGUAGCAAACAGG